rnacentral:lncRNA from 1 species
AACAAUCGGUUAUUCAUACCAGAUAAAAUAUGCAAACUGAAAUUAAAGAGUUUAAGGGAGAGAGAGAUUGCACACACAAUUUAUACUGGUUCACUCUUAAACCAAGAGCUACAUCCAGUCUUCCCAGAAACCAUUGGGGGAAUCCACUAAGUAAUCAAACCUAGAUUACUUACACACACCACCAAAGAAGUGACCUUGAUCCCCUCAAGACACACACUUCUUUUGGCUCAGCACAUACACCACCAAGAAUGUUGAUCUUGACAACCUCAAGAGCACACAACACUUCUUGGCCUAUCACACUAGAGUUUACACAAAGUACAAAAGUAUUACACUUGUUACAAAAUUAUCUGAAAUCAAUACAAAUGAAAAUCCUAUUCCACUCUCUUUUGAUCAAAGCAAUCUUUAACUAUUGAAAAGCAAAAUCAGUGAAAAACUCAAAUAUGUUUUUCUAUGAUUAAAUCUCAGUUGUUGUUUGUUACAAAAGUUGAACAAACUCUUUAUAGCUUUCAAAGAUUGGUCAAAACAUUUAAAACAAGAGUGCAUUCAGUUAUAAAAUCAUUUAAAGCUUAGUCAACACUCAAAACAGUUUUCUGUUAUGGUUUGAAAACAAACAAUCGAUUGAAUGUGCGAAUCAAUCGUCAAAAACAGUUUUCAACCUCACUCAAAACACCUAAGAGUAAAACAAUCGGUUGUUUCGACAAAACAACAAGUUGUUUUUCACUUAGUUUGAAAAACACUUUCAAUUCAAAAGGUUUGAGAAUACUUAAGCUUUGGAUUCAAUCAAGAGUGGAUUUACAUAGAUAAUCUACCCUAGAUCCUAUUCUUAAAACACCUCAGCAACAACAAGCACAUCCAACCUUCCAUCAAACUCAAAGGAUUUGGAUUCUUCAAAGCUUGAACACACUUGAUUCUACAAUCUCCCCCUAUUUGAUGAAGACAAAUCCCUGGUUGCUUGUGUUGGAUUUGAUUGAAUCUGAAGCAGUUCCUGCAAAACAAAGUUUAAGCAAAGCACAAUAUCUCUGAUAGAAGGUUAGAACAGAAGAACAAAAACAACAUAUCAGCAGUAUUAAAAACCAGUCUAUUAGCAGAAAAACCAGCAGAAAUAAAGCUCACUUAAACACAACAUAGAGUUUGCAGAAAAUAAAAGACAAUAAAAGACAACACAUCAUAAAAUCUUCACAAAUAGACAAUAAGAAGAGAUAAAAAGGCAAUUGUUCCAGAUUAUACAGAAAUUUAAAACAAAAGCACUUAAACUGAUACAGGGCCAAAAACAAUCGGUUGUUUCGUGAAUUCAACCGGUUGUUUUUCCUUUAAUCAUGCUUGCCAUACUGGAGUUCAAAGAUCUGAUUCUGAACAACUUCAAUUUGUUCAUCCAAGGUCAUAAACUGAGUAUCCAUGUUGUUGAAUUUGUUGCCUAUACUCUGAAAGUUGCUCACACGCAAAUCAUGGAGAUUUCUUUGAUUCUCGGCAAAGCCAUCAAGCCUAUUCACCAUGUAUCUUUCAAAAGAAGACAUGGAUGACAUUUCAUCUCCUUGAUCUCUUGCACUGGUUCCAACACCAAAAUUUGUUGCAGGCUGUUCUUCAUGGUGAAUAUCCAUGUCAGCAGCUUGAUCUUCAUCAAAAUCAGCAGUUGCAGCACUUGAUGAACCACCAUGAUCACCAUCUUUGCUCACCCAUUUUCCAUUUAUUUUGGUGAAUCCCAUCUUGCUUAGAGAGCCAUUGUUUAUUUUUUGUGUUGACUUAACCAGCUCAGAUGACUCAUCUUCAAGAUUCACUUCAAAAUAGAGCAAGAAUUUAGAGAUUAAAACAGCAUAGGGAUAGUGGUAAUCACUUAACCUCAUGGAUUUUUGCAUGUGUUCUUUAAUGAUAUGGAUCCAGUUAAUCUUGAUCUUCUUCAUGAUGCAGUAAAUGUAUACAAGGUCUUCUUCUGUUAAGACAGAAUGGUUGCUCCCCCUUGGAGUAAGAAUCCAAGUUACAAUAAGAGCAAACACCCUUCCAUCCCGCUUUAAGCCUCCAACCGAACAAGUUCUCACUUGGGCUUGUUGAUUCUUCAAGCAACUCUUGUAGUAUUGGACUUUGUUAAAAUCCUCCACUACUCCAAGAUUUCCUUUGUUGAUCCUUAGACCAACAUAUUUCAGACCAGCUACAACAGUCCACACAUCAUGAGUGAUCUCCAUGUCAACACCCUUCACAUGAGAAACAAGAUUGUUUCCUUCAAACUUUAGAUUGGUGUAAAAUACCCGAAUCAAAUUAGGGUAUAUGUUUCCCUUCAUCUCCAAGAACCUUCUUAGCAGCUGGUCCUUGAGAAGCUUCCUCACAUUGUUUAGCUUUUGGCUUUUCAGCCAAUCAAAGGAAACAACUUUGGGGUUGUUGAUCACCUUUGUGCUAGUUUCAAAGCAAUACUUUUCAAAGAGCUCAUUAUCUCCUGAAAACCAGCCCUCUAGUCUCCCUCCAGACCUCACUACUCUUGUUUUGAUCCUCUUUGAUGUAGGAGGAGUGGAUUCCAUGAUAGUAGAAAAAGAGGCAAAGAAGACUCACACAAGGAGAGCAAGAGAUGUUGCAAGAGAUGGCUCAAUUGAUUGUUCUUGUGAGAGAGAACAGCUGCACCAGAAUUUAAAGAAAAAACUAAACCAUACUGCAUUCAAUUGAUGUGAGUGGGUUUCAGUCUUCAAAGAGAAAAGACUUGACCAAAACCUGCACAGAAAACGUCAGAAAAAUAGAAAAUCACAUGGUCAUCACAUGUGUUCUUUGACUAGUCAUAAAGACUCUUAAAUUUUCGAUAUUUUAGAAUAUAUUCCUUUAUGACAUGUUGUAACUUCCUCCAGAACAUGAUCAGACUUUCAACACAGCUUUAUUGACUCAGGAUUCUUUCAUAAUUGAGAUCUGCAACAGAAAGAAUUUAAAAAAAGAAUUAAAUCCAUUCUUUCACAGUGUUGUCAGAGAGGAAACAAUCGGUUGUUUCGAAGAAUCAAUCGGUUGUUUUUCUGCAGUAGUAAACUAGAUUUUGAAUUAUUAAGAAUGAGCAGAUAAGAUUCAAUGUAUAUGUAAUUGAACAUUUAACAAGAGACAUUUAAGCAUGAAUUUGAAUUUAAAAAGAAUUAAAGAUAGAGAUAAGGAAGGUCUUAUCCUUUAUGAAGUUUCUUUAAUGAGUCAUUUGUUUGUGAUCAAGAAGCCUCUUUUGACUUAUUGAGAGACAUGAACUGGUACAUAACAUUGAUUCACUCCAAUGUUAAUCUUUUCCUCCCAAGAACCUGAUCAGAUGACUCAGAGCCUCAUGUUCUUCUAGAUUCCCUGCAUAAACAUGAAUUCAAGCAACAAGGUUUGGUCCCCUUACAAAUGUGGGUCCAUUUGGCUUAUAUUUAUCAUUUGAAACCUCACAACCUUUGAGAAUCCAUUUCAUAAAGCCUAUGGGAACAAAAUAUUUCCUUAUUUUGCAGAAUCUAAUAGAAUGACCUUUUUUCAUGCAGUAAAAGCAUGUAACAACUGAUUGUUUCAACUUAACAAUUGGUUGUUUUACUGGCUGUUUUGAAAAAUUCUUUGAGAAAUUAUCUUGCUUGUUUUGUGAAUUAAAACUUAAUCCAGCUCUUCCAAAAACACAGUUUUGAUAUGCCAAGACAUUCUCAAAGUUGGAUUUUCCUUUUGAAAGCUUAUCCAUAGUACUAACAAGAUAAUGUACUUUCUUUUCAAGAUUUUCACAAUUUUCACAAAUGAGAGUGUCACACUUUCAAGAAGAGUUUUUGCAAUGAGUUUUCAGAUUUUCAAAAUCACUUUUUGAUUUUUCCAGCUCUUCUUUAAGUGCCUCAACUCUCUUUUCAAGCCAACUGUUAAGCCCUUUUAAUCGGUUGUUUGAAAGAACCAAUCGAUUAGCUUUUUCGUGUGUUUCUUUAAAAACUUCAAGCAAUUUACUAUAAUUUUCAACAUUUAGAGAAGCACAUGAACUUACAUCACUUGAGCUACAUGACUCAUCAUCUCCUUCAGCAAUCAAGCAUAUGUUUGCCUUUUCUUCUUCACUUAAUGAUGAGCUUGAUGAUGAGGAGACUUCAUUCUCAUCCCAAGUUAUGUAGGCUCUUUUUGACUUUCCUUUCUUUUCUUUGUAGCUUGACUUCUUCUCCUUGCUUUCUUUAUUUGGGCAAUCUGCCUUUAUGUGCCCUUGUUCACCACAACCAAAACAAGUAUAGUUAUUGGAAUUAAAAUCAAUGGAUUUUUUGUUUCCAUACCUUUCUUUGUUGAUGUCUUUCUUGCGGUUCCUUUUCAAGAAUUUGCUAAACUUUCUAGAUAGCAAACUAAGGUUCUCUUCAUCACUGGAUUCUUGCUUGCUUUUGUGCUUGACAGCUUUUAAGGCAAUGCUCCUUACAUGUUCAACUCCAACUCAUGUUCCCUAAGCUUGCCAUACAAAGAAGUCAUACUCAGUGAUGUUAGAUCUUUUGAUUCAGAUAUAGCAGUUACCUUAGGUUUCCAAGAUCUAUCAAGACAUUUGAGGAUCUUGAUGUUUAGCUCUUCUUUUUCAAAGGUUUUCUCAAGGCUCAUGAGGUGGUUGAUGAUGUGAGUAAACCUCUUUUGAACUUCAGCAAUAGUCUCACCCUUAAGCAUUCUAAACAUUUCAUACUCUUGGAUUAGAGUAUGCUUUCUGGCUCUUUUCACCUCAUUGGUACCUUCAUGAGUUACCUCCAAGGUGUCCCACAUCUCCUUUGCUGAUUUGCAUUGAGAGACCCUGAAAAAUUCAUCUGAAUUUAAGGCAAAUGUUAUUAUGUUUUUAGCAAUGCAAUCAAAUUUGGCCUUCUUGCUUUCAGAAUCAGUCCAUUGAGACUAAGGUUUUUCAAUAGAAAAUCCAUCUUUUUCAAAUUUUGGAACAAAGAGGUCAUUUUCAAUUGCAUCCCAAAUUCCUUUUUCAAGAGAUUCAACAAAGAUUUUCAAUCUGACUUUCCAAAAUUGGUAGUUCAAACCACAAAACAGAGGUGGUUUGUUGAUUGAAGCACCCUCCCCAAAGGGUAAUCUAUCAGCCAUAUAAAAACAGUGUUAGGAUCACACUUGAAUAAAUUUCAAGAACCAAGCUCUUGAUGCCAAUUGUUAGAAUGUAUGACUUUAAACUAGAGGGGGGGUGAAUGGUUUAAAGAGGGUUUUUGCAAACUUUUUAGUCUAGAAUGAAAUUCCUUUAAGAAAACUUGAUUCAGAACUCAGUUUGCCAAAAACACAAAGCAAUUUAGCACAGCACCAGAAAAACAAUCGGUUGUUUAUACCAGAUAAAAUAUACAAACUGAAAUUAAAGAGUUUAAGGGAGAGAGAUAUUGCACACAGUUUAUACUGGUUCACUCUUAAACCAAGAGCUACAUCCAGUCUUCCCAAAAACCACUGGGGGAAUCCACUAAGUAAUCAAACCUAGAUUACUUACACACACCAUCAAAGAAGUGACCUUGAUCCCCUCAAGACACACACUUCCUUUGGUUCAGCACAUACACCACCAAGAAUGUUGAUCUUGACAACCUUAAGAGCACACAACACUUCUUGGCCUAUCACACCAGAGUUUACACAAAGUAUAGAAGGAUUACACUUGUUACAGAAUGAUUUGAAAUCAAUACAAAUGAAAAUCCUAUUCCACUCUCUCUUUAUCAAAGCAAUCUUUAACUCUUGGAAAGCAAAAUCAGUGAAAAACUCAAAUUUGUUUUUCUAUGAUUAAAUCUCAGUUGUUGUUUGUUACAAAAGCUGAACAAACUCUUUAUAGCUUUCAAAGAUUGGUCAAAGCAUUUAAAACAGGAGCGCAUUCAAUUAUAAAAUCAUUUAAAGCUCCGUCAACACUCAAAAUAGUUUUCUGUUAUGGUUUGAAAACAAACAAUCGGUUGAAUGUGCGAAUCAAUCGGUUGUUUUGGUUUCACAGCAAGUCAACCAUCAAAAACAGUUUUCAACCUUUCUCAAAACACCUAAGAGUUAAACAAUCGGUUGUUUCGACAAAACAACAGGUUGUUUUUUCACUUAGUUUGAAAAACACUUUCAAUUCAAAAGGUUUGAGAAUACUUAAGCUUUGGAUUCAAUCAAGAGUGGAUUUACACAGAUAAUCUACCCCAGGUCCUAUUCUUAAAACACCUCACCAACAGCAAGCACAUCCAGUCUUCCAUCAAACUCAAAGGAUUUGGAUUCUUCAAAGCUUGAACACACUUGAUUCAACAAGAAGCAGACCCAGUGUGGAGAAUAUGCAUACCUUGUCCAUUACCUAGCUUGAGGUCGUCAUUACCAUGAUAGGAUUGUUUGUGAGUGAAUAUCUUGGGGUAUUUGGUAAUAUGGUGUGUAGCAUCAGUGUCGAGAUACCACAGAGGGUCUUCAAUGGUGGAAGGAGCGCCAAGAAUGGAUGUUGCAGAGUCAUUAUCAAAGGUCGAAGUAUGUUGCGACACGUUUGCAGUGAAGGAAGUGGUGGGUGGAGGAUUAUAUCGGUGCCAACAAGCGUCUGCAGUGUGACCAAGUUUGUGACAAAUUUGGCAAAACUGUUUGACAGACUUCCAAGAAGAUGAUUGAUGGAACGAAGGUUGAAUAAAAGAACGAGGAGAAAGAAUGUAAGAACGUCCACCUCGAGGAGCGUAAGCAGAAGAUUUCUUGCGGUUCUGGUGUUUUACAUGCCACGGAGCCAAAACCGUGUUAACCUGAAGGAGGGGAUCUUGAACAAGUUUAUGUUUUUCAAAGUGUUCCUCUUGUGCAAGAAAAAGAGCUUCAAGCUCAUCCACAGUAUAUAGGUCACUGCACAAAAGAAUGGAAGUGACGUAUCCAUCAUAAUCUGGAGAUAA